GAUGAACGCUGGCGGCGUGCCUAAUACAUGCAAGUCGAGCGAACAGACGAGGAGCUUGCUCCUCUGACGUUAGCGGCGGACGGGUGAGUAACACGUGGAUAACCUACCUAUAAGACUGGGAUAACUUCGGGAAACCGGAGCAAAUACCGGAUAAUAUAUUGAACCGCAUGGUUCAAUAGUGAAAGACGGUUUUGCUGUCACUUAUAGAUGGAUCCGCGCCGCAUUAGCUAGUUGGUAAGGUAACGGCUUACCGAGGCAACGAUGCGUAGCCGACGUGAGAGGGUGAUCGGCCACACUGGAACGGAGACACGGUCCAGACUCCUACGGGAGGCAGCAGUAGGGAAUCUUCCGCAAUGGGCGAAAGCCUGACGGAGCAACGCCGCGUGAGUGAUGAAGGUCUUCGGAUCGUAAAACUCUGUUAUUAGGGAAGAACAAAUGUGUAAGUAACUAUGCACGUCUUGACGGUACCUAAUCAGAAAGCCACGGCUAACUACGUG
rnacentral:rRNA from 1 species